rnacentral:lncRNA from 1 species
GGCGUCUUUUAGACCCUCACCGUAGUAGAUUACUGUCUACUACUGUUGAGGCAAUGAUGUGUGCAAGGAGUUGGUUGAAAGCUGAGGUGAUCAAAGGUAAAAAAUUUCUUUCCAUAGUUGAAUUAUGAGUUUCAAUCUAAUAACAAUAUCAUUACUUACUAAUUUUAUGUUUCUGCACUUGUAUUUCAGAUAAUACGAAGGCUGCUACUGCUUUGGAAGGGUGUUUCACUAUGCUGAAUCUGGAUGGGUACGAGGAUGAGAAUGACACCGAAGGAUGCUGAAUCUACUGUUGUUAGGUGGAUGUUGAAUGUUGUCUGCUGUCUUGCUGUUGCUGUUGCUGUCUUGCCGCUUUGAAGGUUGUUACUGUUGCUGUCUUGCUGUUGCUGUCUUGCUGCUGCUGUCUUGUUGUAUUGCUGCUGCUGUUAGGUUGUCUCUAUGUAUUGUUGCUGCUGCUGUAGUGCUGUUACGUUGAAUUGCUUUGUUUUUGUCCUGCUGUAUUGCUGCUGCUGUCUUGCACAAUGCUUAUGUUUUGAACAAUGCCAACCUUUCAAUGACAUUCACAUGGUUUUGUUUUA